UUGUCCGGAAUUACUGGGUGUAAAGGGAGCGUAGGCGGGACGGUAAGUCAGGUGUGAAAUAUACGUGCUCAACAUGUAGACUGCACUUGAAACUGCUGUUCUUGAGUGAAGUAGAGGUAAGCGGAAUUCCUAGUGUAGCGGUGAAAUGCGUAGAUAUUAGGAGGAACAUCGGUGGCGAAGGCGGCUUACUGGGCUUUUACUGACGCUGAGGCUCGAAAGCGUGGGGAGCAAACAGGAUUAGAUACCCUGGUAGUCCACGCUGUAAACGAUGAUUACUAGGUGUGGGGGGACUGACCCCUUCCGUGCCGCAGUUAACACAGUAAGUAAUCCACCUGGGGAGUACGACCGCAAGGUUGAAACUCAA
rnacentral:rRNA from 1 species